GCCGGGUGUGGUGGUGCAUGCCUGUAAUCCCAGCUGUUGGGAGGCUGAGGCAGGAGAAUCGCUUGAACCCAGGAGGCAGAGGCUGCAGUGAGCCAAGUUCACGCCACUGCACUCCAGCCUGGGCAACAGAGUGAAACUCUGUCUCAA
ensembl:misc_RNA Metazoa_SRP Metazoan signal recognition particle RNA